AUGGGGAUGAGGCGCCGGAUCCGGGUGUGGCCCGGGUUGGGCGUGGCGCUCCAGAGGCACCCGGGACCCACCUGGCAGGACCAGCAGGGCCAGGAGGGCGAGGAGGAUACAGGGAGGUCCUGGGGACAAAAUUUUGAUCAGAGACCCGCAGGGCUCCGGGCGGUCGUGACCCUGCUGGAGUGUGGGGGGGACCUCCAGCCCCCCGGGGGGUCCCUGACUCUGCUCUGCUGCGCCUCCGGGUUCAGUUUCACCGGUUACAACCUGGGCUGGGUUCGCCAAAGCCCUGGGAAGGCGCUGGAAUGGAUUGGGGAGAUCAGCAUCGGGGGCACCACCUGGUACGCGCCGUCGGUGCAGGGCCGGUUCACGAUCUCCAGGGACAACGGGCAGAGCUCGGUGACGCUGACCAUGAACAGCCUCAAGGACGAGGAUUCUGCCGUUUAUUUCUGUGUCAGAAAUGCUGGCGGUCAUUGGGUUGAAGUUGGCGGUGCUGCUGCUGGUUUUUAUCCCAUCCCCAUCUUGGCAUCGCCACCGAUCCCCAAAUGUCACCAGACCCCAACCCUUGACCCCGACCUUGAGCACUGA